rnacentral:sRNA from 1 species
AACAUCUCUUAACCUCCCUUCCAGCUAGCCGUAUAAAUGUCCCUCCUCCAUCCUGCUAAGCGUCUCCGGCUAUCUCACCUCCAAUCCACUCCCCGUCGUCGCCGUCAUGCCUCCGCCGCCUUCUCGACAAAACCCUCACCCCAAAAGCAACGAACAUGGCUGCGAGUUACAAUAGUCACAGCGGUAGCCGCUGCCAUUGGCGCCUACACUCGAUAUGAAGCGGACUCAGGCACCGCAACCCUAAACCCAUACACUUUCACACAAUAUGAGCUGGUCUCCAAAAUCCCUGUCUCCUCCAGCAGCAGCAUCUUCACCCUGCGCCCAGUGAAGUUGGGGGAUAAUGACACGGUAUGCAAAGAGGCCUGGCGGAGGGGUUUAUGGAGUGUCCAGUUCAAGCAGCCACAGCUAC